AAGGAAGCUUUACCCUGCGGCUUAUGUACCAGCUGUUCAAAAACAUUUCUCAAAAUGGGUCCUACAGUUAUUCUCUAUGCUACCUUGGUUUAGUGCCAAGUUGAUGUCAAAAGGUCAUGAAAAGGAAAGUCGAGCAAAAAUCAAGCUGUUUAUGACAAUAAUGGAUUCCAUGACAAAUGCAGAGCUGGACGGCACAAACCCAAAACUGAUGAAUGAAUACCAUACGCUGCACACUGCGAGGGGUUUGGACAGGCCAGUCAGAGAUGUCACAGAAAUGCUGGAGGAACACAAGCGCGCUUCGCAAAGAUGUGCAGCGAGAUGAAGGGGUAGUUCAAGAUAUCAGAAAGGUGAAAUGAGUGUAUUGUCUCGGAACAUGAAUGCACGGCACAUGAGCAAGGUCCUACCACCACAGAUGCUGAAGCAGAUCGGUGGCAUGGGUGGCCUGCAGAACUUCAUGAAGCAGAUGGGAUUGAAAGACAUGGGUGGGUUGGUGGGAUCUUCGGAUGAGGGUACAAAUAGAAUAAUACUUUAUAUAAUCUAACACAUCGUCUUGAGAUUAUACUUCACUGUGCUGUGAUUAUCAAGAUGGUUUACUUUUCGGACAUCCAUGAAUCCUUCGAUUAUUUCGGAUGUCUUUGCCUUGCCUGUGCAUCGUUGGAUGAUUUAUGCAAGGAAUGGGCCGUGUUGUGUAUCUAAACUCAAGAAGUGAAGCACCUUAAGGUAUUAAAGGUGUCUAUAAAUCAUUCGAUCCAACUCGUAAGUGUCGAUCGAUGUCUCAAUCAUCAAGAACUGGUGGUAGUUGAGUUUUGUUAUAUGUGGUCAAAUUUGUGACAAUGUUUCAGCUCACUAAAAAUGGAUUGGU